AGUAACGGCGAGUGAACAGGGAAAAGCCCAAAUUUGUAAUCUGGCACUUUUUACAAGUGUCCGAGUUGUAAUUUGUAGAGCUGUUAUCCGUACUGGACCAUGUACAAGUCUGUUGAAAAGCAGCAUCAUUGAAGGUGAAAAUCCUGUAGAUGAUAUGGACUACCAGUAUAUUUGUGAUACGGUUUCUAAGAGUCGAGUUGUUUGGGAAUGCAGCUCAAAGUGGGUGGUAAAUUCCAUCUAAGGCUAAAUAUAAGUGAGAGACCGAUAGCAAACAAGUACCGUGAGGGAAAGAUGAAAAGAACUUUGAAAAUAGAGUUAACAGUACGUGAAAUUGCUGAAAGGGAAACGUUUGAAGUUAGUUUUGUAUUCGUUGGAUCAGCUUCGCAAGGAGUGUAUUCUGAUGAUAAGCAAGUCAACAUCAGUCUAUGAGUGUUGGAUAAGGGUUUUGAGAAUGUAGCAAUUUAAUUGUGUUAUAGCUUGAGACUUGGAUACAAUGCUUUGGAUUGAGGAACGCGUAGUAAGCUUUGAGCGGAUUCGAAAGGAUCUCCUUACUAUGGAUGUUGGUGAAAUAACUUAACCGACCCGU
rnacentral:rRNA from 1 species